AGACUCAGCGUCAGCCGCUGUUGGCUUGCGUGCGGCCGCGAUGCUUUCUUUUACAGGGAGCACGCGGUCGCUGCGUCAUGUCCGGCGCGGUCGGCGUGCACUUCUCCCCUAGUAGGACGUCGCGACCCGUUGGGUGUCGACCGACGGCCCGUGAGGUAGCCUGGGGUGCCGUGCGUUUAUAGCGCGCGCGCAUCUCAAACCCGCGGUGCCUGGCUCGACUGCCCGGCGGUAGAGAUCUAAUUGACAUGGUAUGGGGUCGCACGCUUGUUUGCGAUGCGUUUUGGCCCGUCAACAUACUGGCCUCGCUCGGCGUACGGGACCUAGUGCCGUUGCCGAGCGUUGGUCGGUUGCACUCGGCGGUGUCCUCGAACGGGCCCUGCUUUAAAACAUACCCGUCGGCGACGCUACUGCUUUGGGUACUUUCAGGACCCGUCUUGAAACACGGACCAAGGAGUCUAACAUGUGCGCGAGUCAUUGGGACUUGAAACAAAGCCUAAAGGCGCAAUGAAAGUAAAGGUCCGCUUUAUGCGCGACCGAGGGAGGAUGGCUCCCGCCACGACGCGGAGCCCGCACUCCCGGGGCGUCUCGUGCUCAUUGCGAGCUGAGGCGCACCCAGAGCGUACACGUUGGGACCCGAAAGAUGGUGAACUAUGCCUGGUCAGGACGAAGUCAGGGGAAACCCUGAUGGAGGUCCGUAGCGAU
rnacentral:rRNA from 1 species